GUGACCAGGUACAGCAAUUGCUGUGAGAAAUCCAGGAUUUGGUUAUUUUCCUUUUAAUUUGGUUGAGUAUUAAGCUACAAGAAUGAGGGCAUAGGGCAUAUUUUAACCAAGAGGGUUUGCAGUUAAGUCGAUCAGAAGCAGUGACAUCCCUUAACUGCAGGCAGUAUUCUGGUUUGCUGCAGCGAGGUACCUGCACUUCUGAAAGCACUGGCCUUCCUCUGGGCUGCACAAACAGCCAGAAAUCAGACCCCGAACAGAAAGAAACCAGGAGUCCACUGACUUGGACAAAGAACAUGAAGGGUUCACCAGGAAUGGGCAGGACCAGGAGAACCAGGAGGAGAUGUGAUCCAAAAAGCAUCUGAAAGGUGAGA